GAGUUGUUGUGAAAAAAAAAAAAAUCAAGUGAUUGAUAUGAUUUUUGUUCGUUAGAUACAAAUGAAAAAAAUAAUUAAAAAUUCCAAGUUUUUUUAUGCUAUAGUACUCAUUUUACUUUUGCUAUUUCUUAUUGCAAUUGAUGCUAGAGAUUCCAAAUGUACUUCCUUCCUCGAUUGUAUGUUCCCUUGCAUCCUACUUCGUGGGACACCAGUAUGCAUAAACGGUCAAUGUUUUUGCAUUCGUUAGUUAAGUGAACAAUAAUUAUAGAACUAUAGAA